UUUACUACUAUAACCCAAAGAAACACAUUGAAUAAGUAAUUCAUAAAUGGAAAAAAUACAUUCAAAAUAUAGAUCAUAAGGAAUAAGGUUUUGAAGUGGCUGUCCUAUAUCUAGAAUAUAUAAGAAAGCUCAGGAUUGAGAUGCAGCCCAUGCAACAAAAAAAACAUCUCUAUCUUAAACUGACAAAUAUGGAUGGGGAUUUUUGUAUUACAUUAGAUUGACGCACGUGUCCACCAAUAGACUCUGUCUCCUCCCCUUCAUCUACACUGAUUGAAAUGACAUCAAUAAGGGAGCAUAGCUUUCACCUGGAUUCACCUGGUCAGUCUAUGUCAUGGAAAGAGUUCCUAAAGUUUUGUACACGCCGUGUAUAUCAGUUGUUUAGCUGGAAUGGAAUGUUCAUAUCCUGUACACUCACAGUUUAUUAGGUACACCACCCUAUUCACGGAAAUGUAUCACUCCUACAGACAAUGAGUCACGUGGCCGUGGCUCACGAUAUAAAGCAGGCAGACAGGCAUUGAAGCAUUCCGUUACUGUUCGAUUGAACGUUAGACUGGGCAAAACCAGUGAACUAAGCGACUUUAUGCGUGGUAUGAUCGUCAGUGCCAGGUACGCCGGAUCCAGCAUCUCAGAAACGGCCUCCCCACUGGGCUUUUCACGCACGACAGUGUCUAGGGUGUGACAGAGAAUGCUGUGACAAAAAAACAUCCAGUCAGCGGCAGUCCUGUGGGAGAAAACAGCUCGUUGAUGAGGGUUUGAAGGAAAAUGGCAAGAAUUGUGUACACUAACAGGAAAAUAACAGCGCAGUACAACAGUGGUAUGCAGAUCGGCAUCUCAUAACGCACGACUCGUCAGUCCUUGUCAGCAGACGGCCACACCGGGUUCCACUACUAUCAGCUAAAAACAAGAAGAAGCGGCUCCAGUGGACACGCGAUAACCAACACUGGAAAAUUGAGGAGUGGAAAAACAUUGCCUGGUCUGACGAAUCUUGGUUCCUGAUGAGUCAUGCUGAUGGCAGAGUCAGGAUUUGGCAUAAGCAGCAUGAGUCUAUCCUGUCUGCAGUCAACGGUACAGGCUGGUGGCGGUCGUGUCAUGAGAAUCAUCUUAACCAGAAUGGAGCGCUCACAGCUUCUCACUGCUGGCUGUCUGGCAGCACUCUGAGCCUUGACAGUUAGUGUUGGCUGGCCACCCAUGCUGUCACUGUAAGUCUUUCCCUCCAAUGGAGAGCCAGCUGGCCUGGCUGAGACUGAUUCACAUUCCACCACCAGCACACUGGAGACUGCGAGAACUCUUGGAGGACAGAGGAGAGGAGGGAAGGGCAGGGGAGGAGUAGACAGGGGAGGGGGGGAUAGGGGAUGGCAUGAGAGGAGAUCGCAGCAAACAGGGGACAGCCUGAGAACGUUCGGCAACGUUCCCAUUAGGUCCCUUUAGGUUUUCGCCGCAACAUUAUCCCACUGAGAAUGUAGCGUGAUGGUCCCAAGGGAACGUUCUCUGGGGGACCUUUGUGCAGUUCCCUGUAAGUUCCCAAGACGUCACUAAGGACCAUGUCAGGAACUUUUUGACGUUCUCAUGACUUUCAUUUUACUAGUCAUUAGGACGUUGCGUGAUGGUCCCAAAGGAUCUCUGGGGGACAUUUUUAUAGUUCCCAGGUUUGUUCCGGGACGUUUUUAAGACUUUCUUGGGACAUUGUGUCAUGGUCCCUUCAAGGUACCCUGAAUGUUCAUGGGAUAUUCUCUCAUGGUCCCCUGGAAGUUUUCUCUAAUUCCUAGUUUGUCCCCUGGACGUCACCGAGGACGUUUUUAUGACGUUCCUGGGUAGUUGUGUUAUGGUCCCCUGAAGGUCUCCUGAACCUACUUGGGACGGUGUGUCAUGGUCCCUGGAGGUUUUUGUAACGUGAUGGUCUCAUGUGUCCCAAACCAUUAUAAGUAAAUUAAUGAAAUGAUAUGGAGAUUUUAAGGUAAGUAGUAGGAUGUACAGCUAUAAAGUGUAAAAUCUUUAAUCAAUGACAAUAUAAUUACAUUUGACAUGAUCACUUAGUACUGACUUUUCAAUAUGACCACAUGUAACUCAAAACCUCUGGAUUUGGGGUACGCUGACAUUUCUGUUGCGCACAGUGUGUAGAAUUUCUGAUGUCCCCUACACAUUCAUUACUUAUAAUACAUACAGUGCAUUUGAAACUAUUGAGACCCAUUCACCUUUUCCACAGCCUUAUUCUAAAAUGGAUUGAAUGAAACAAAAUCCUCAUCAAUCUACAUACAAUAAUGACAAAGCAAAAACAUUUUUUUUUUCUGCAAAUGUAUUAAAAAUAAAUAAAAAAAUACCUUAUUUAAAUAAAUAUUCAGACCCUUUGCUAUGACUCGAAAUUGAGCUCAGGUGCAUCCUGUUUCCAUUGAUCAUCCUUGAGAUGUUUCUACAACUUGAUUGGGGUCCACCUGUGGUAAAUUGAAUUGAUUGGACAUGAUUUGGAAACACCUGUCUCUAUAAGGUCCCACAUUUGACAGUGUAUGUGUCACGUCCUGACCAUAGAAAGCUGUUAUUUUCUAUGGUAGAGUAGGUCAGGGCGUGACAGGGGGGUGUUCUAGUUUAGUUUUUCUAUGUUGUCAGGUUCUAGUUUUGUAUAUCUAUGUUGGGUUUUGUUUGGGAUGAUCUCCAAUUAGAGGCAGCUGGUCCUCCUUGUCUCUAAUUGGAGAUCAUACUUAAGUAGGGUUUUUUUCCACCUGAGUUUGUGGGAGAUUGUCUUUGAGUCAGUGUUUGUUUCACCUCUGCGUCACGGUUUGUUGUUUUGUUAUUCAGUUUAUUUAUAUGUAUUGCAUAGUUUCACAUUGAAAAUAAAAUGUGGAACGACACACACGCUGCACUUUGGUCCGCUCUUCCUACGACAGCCGUGACAGAAUCUCUCACCACCAAAGGACCAAGCAUCGUACCCAGGAGAAACAGGAAUGGACCUGGGAGGAAAUUCUGGACGGGAAAGGACCCUGGAGUCAGGCUGGGGAGUAUCGCCGUCCGAAAGAGGAGAUUGAGGCAGCGAAAGCGGACCGGCGAUAUUACGAGGCACUAUACCAACUACGAGGCAAGUGCGAGAGGCAGCCCCCAAAAUUGUUUUUGGGGGGGGCACACGGGGAGAUUGGCAGAGUCAGGGUGGAGACCUGAGCCAACUCCCCGGGCUUACUGUGGGGAGCGAGUGAUGAAGCAAAUACCGUGUUAUGCGGUGAUGCGCACUGUGUCGCCAGUGCGCAUUCACAGCCCAGUGUGAUCUGUGCCCGCACCCCGCAUUUGUCGAGCUAGGUUGAGCAUCCAGCCAGGACGGGUUAUGUCAGCUCUACACUCGAGACCUCCAGUGCGCCUCCACGGCCCAGUAUAUCCUGUGCCUGCCCCACGUGCCCGGCCUCCAGUGAGUCUAUCCAGCCUGGUACGCCCUGUGCCUGCUCCACGCACUUGCCCUGAGGUGCGUAUUACCAGUCUGGCGCCACCUGUGCCAGCCCCACGCAUCAGGCCUCCAGUGCGCAUUCCCAGUCC
rnacentral:lncRNA from 1 species